AUUCCUUCCCUCAGGAACCCACAGCUGGCACAUCCUGCUUGUCCUAAUAGGAAUUACAUCCUUAUAACCUACAGCAGACAGGAAGACAAGCCUGUCUACCAAGAAAACUGCCAUGCCACUUGAAACUUUUCAUCUUUUCCAGGCUGUAGCAUGCUUCAGAAAACCCUAUCCCAGCAUUUCCUGGAGAAGACAGAAAUUGUCCGGUCCACCGCGCUGAUGGCAGCAUCAUUAAAUUUCCCUCAGCUUCUUUCCAGCUGCUACCACCAGCUAUGAGAAAUGAUGCAGGAACAGAUCUCCCUACCAGACACAGCAAUGUGAAUGUAUCAUCUGCAGAAUUCAAACUAUUCAAGAUGCACUAUUCAAGUCUCUUCUCACAUCCACAGGUAAAAUUCACUACAGUGGAAUGGUUGGAUGAUUUGAAAUAUUUAUAUUGAAGUGGUAAUGCAAAUUAAAGGAGAACUAUCUUGAUAAAACAUCAGAUUAAAGACUGGUGAAUGUAUUCUCUGUUACACUCUGGUGACUGAACUUUAUAUUUAAACUUUAAGAUACUGGUUUCACAGCUUCGGAGUUUAACUAACUGCUUUUCUGAGGUUCACUUUCAAAAUUUACUCAGACAGAGUAAACAUCCUCUGUUUGUAAUUGACAGGAUGUUAGUCCCAGAAGUGUAUUUCCAGCUGCAUCUCAUUACAAUUCUCUCAUGUUGUCACUGCUGAUAUUUCUUCAGUAAAGUUUAAUUAAACAAAAGCACUCGUGCACUGUGAGUGAAAUUGCAGUGAUGAGCUGGUGUACGAGGUGAAGUGUGAUGGUGCUACCAAAACCCAGAUCAGUGAUAUUUAGAAUCCAAAUAUAGGACUUUAAGGGCUCCAUUUCUGACAGCGAGUCUGGUCAGUCCCACCCUUUUUCUGGGCACAGCCAGCCUGGCCGGUUGCACUCUGUUUUGGAGAGGAGCGAGCUCAGCACGUGGGAGGGAGCUGUGCCUUUUGGCCCUGGGGAUGGAGCAGAGCCACUGGCCUAUUUUACUGAACUGUGGAGGCAGUCACAGCCGCUGAUGCCUGUGAGGUGGUGCUGGCACAACGCUGACUGCACAGCUCAGCACCCCCUCAUUAAGCAUCCCAUUGCUCAACCAUGCACGGCCACCAAGAUCCUCCUGGGUGUCCUGAACACAAUGCACAUUCCUCACAUGCUACAGCAGCACAGUCCAUGCUCAGGAGUGAACACGGGUGCACUGCCCUCUCCUGCUUCUUCUCAUCACAGUGUCCUAACCGGUUUCUAAAAAAAUUGUUUGUUUGGGUUUUUUUUUUCUAAGUGGGAGAUCAUACACCUUUGAUUUUUAACACAAAAGCAGUGUUGAGUGUGAAAUAUAUCUGAGGCAUCAGACAGCUGCUUGUGUCCUAGCAUAGAAACCAAAAUGCUUUUUCAAAUAUCACAGGAACUUCAAGCUGAUCCACAGUUUGCCAUAUAUUUUAUCUUGCUAUUUAGAUCCCUUUUUUUUGUAUCAACAGAACUGCUGCACACAGUUUUCCCCUCCUUCCUGAAAGAAGGGACAUGUUCAAGCUGCUCCACUGAAUGGCAGUGGCACUUUCUGUUUGCUCCCAAGGGAUUUCGUGUUUGUAACCACAGUGUAACACAUCCAGCAGCACACGGGGUUUGCAGCACUGCUGUUAAUCCUGUUUCCAAAGCUUUUCCAGAGAGCCCUUACACGCUCUGGCAUCUGAUCCAGGGUAACCCUGCGCUGGCUCCCGGACUCACCGACUUGAAGGCAGCGUAUUAAAACAAGCCCCGAGUUCUGGGCAAGCCAUGCAUAGCAAAGGCGCAUUCCAGGCCCUGGGUUUUUAACGGGAAUUCAGCCUCAUCUGCUCAUCCUUAAAUGUGCAGCGACUCCUCCGUCAAACGCGCGCACUCAGCCUCCCUGAGACGGCAGUGACAGACACCUCCGCAGCCGCGCCACAUCCCGGGAAUUCUCAUUCCCAGCGUCUCUGACAUCAGGCAAAAGCACGCUCCUGUAAACUGCUGGCAAAGCGCCCGUGCCGCAUCCCGGGCUGCUGAUUGCUCCACACAGACACUCCCAGCCAGAUCCUUCAGCUCACACACAAAGCGGGCACUCUGUGCCAGGGAAACCGAAAUCCAGGGGCAGCUACACUGCCAGCCUAGCUCAAAAGGACACUGUUUUCUCCCGGUUUCCCUGUAUUCCUCAAAAUCUGCAAGCUCCCAUCCGCACUUCUCUGGAAUUUCUGGAAUGCGUUAGAUGCGCGGCUCGUAAAUGAUCACAAUGAGUUGUGGCAUAAUGAGUGUACAGUGAGUACACACCACACCAACUUUGUUCAUUUCUAAUUUUGAAAC